GGGUCCAUCCUAAUUCCUGCAGGUCAGUGCCAGUACCUGCUAGGUUUCGCUUGUGGACCAGAUUAAACUGGAAAGUGCUCUUUAAAUAUGAGUUUACAGUUAGUCUGCUCAUAACAAGAGAUUUCUGGACAUGU